AUUUUAAAUUCCCAGCAGAAAAUAUUGUGCUAACAAUCAAUAUUUUUAUUAUUUGAUUUGAGUUCAGCAUUGUGCUCAGGCAUUCAAAUUACAAUAGGAUAAUUUGUAAAGGUCUCCCCCCUUUUUGAGACACCCUGUAGAAGGAUCUUGUGCACUCGAGAGGUAGACAAAAGCCCGAAUAAGUAUAGGUUAUUUUGAGGCAACGAGGGGAUAUGUGAUUUAUUCACCGAGGCGCGAGGUGAAUAAACACAUAUCCCCGAGGUGCCUCGAAAUAACGUACUUAUUUUCACACUGCGAGGUCGCGUUAAUGAGUCAGAAUAGAAAUAAUUCUUAAUGCCGUAUUGCCUUCGUUAUGUUGUUUUUUUCUCAUUUUUUUGUGCUGCAAAGACAUUGCAGGUGAAUAUUAGAGGGGAUUAUUAAUUGCAGGGGAAUAUUAGAGGGGAUUAUUAAACGGAAAUUGAU